rnacentral:rRNA from 1 species
UACGUAGGGUGCGAGCGUUGUCCGGAAUUACUGGGCGUAAAGAGCUCGUAGGUGGUUUGUCGCGUUGUUCGUGAAAACUCACAGCUUAACUGUGGGCGUGCGGGCGAUACGGGCAGACUGGAGUACUGCAGGGGAGACUGGAAUUCCUGGUGUAGCGGUGGAAGUGCGCAGAUAUCAGGAGGAACACCGGUGGCGAAGGCGGGUCUCUGGGCAGUGAACUGA